AGCUUGAUGGUCAGAUUGCAGCUUAGCUACAACUGUUGUAGAUACACCAGACUGAGUCCUGAUUAUUCUGCAGUAGUCCCCACUCACCCCUACUGGGCCAACUGAAGGGUAACUCUAAGAUCGAGAAACCUACGGACAGGCUAACUUUAAUCAACCCCGACCCCAUGGAAGAUUUAACCUUUAAUCUAGGUGGUCAAUACCAGUGUUGCUGAACCCAGUUCUCUGCAGCUCAGAAACCUUUUCUACAGAUUCAUGGAGCUUCCCAGGAGACAGACUGAGGACACACAGAUUUGCACAGGAAAAUGUUUGUGUGUUCAUCAUAAAAUGCAGCACGUCGACAUCGUAAUCUCGCAAAGAAACAUAAACACGGGUGCACAGAUGCAUGGGUGCACGUCCUCACAUGUGAGCACGCGGUGCCUGCUGACGAGCCAUUUGGGGUGACUAAACUUUUGUGUACAGUGAAGCUUGAGCAAUUAAAAAAAUAGAACAGGUUUAAUAUUCAGAUGUGAAUCUUUAACAAAGAAAGCUUUUUGUAAUUGCAGUGCUUCCUCAGACACUCAGUGUAAGUCCGGACUGGCCCGUAUUGAACACAGUUUAUAAGGGCACACAGACAAAAGGACAGCACGGUUAUGUGGAUGCAUUAGCUAAACAAAUUUUUAUCUCAGAGAUGAAUGAUCAAAGGCAGCCAUGGUUGACAAUUUUAUAAAGUCAAAAAGUCUACAGUUUGUGAUAAAUGCUUUGCCGCACAAUAACACAGUACAAUACAAUUAUAUUUUCCAAAGAAACUUUUUUUAAAGGCAAUAUUAAAGGAAGCACUUCUGUUGUGACUGAGGGAAUCAGUGUGUGAGUCAGCAAAUUGUAGGUCUUAUCUCCUUUCUUGAUGUAUGAACUAGAUUUGAGCUGCAAUUACUUGAAUUGUAUCAGAUGAUUAGUCAUAGCGCUCCAGUCUGUUAUGGCCGAGCACUUUUGCCUUUUUACGUAUGAUUUUGGCCAAAAUACCCAACAACAGUUAUAAAUACAAAAAAGGCAAACAGCUGCAAAAACAGUGUUAAAAGCAUGAUUGCGAUUCCCUUUACGCAAAGAGAACAAAAGCAUCACCUUUAUUUUUCUACACACGUUUCUCAGACACUGAUAGUAGACGUAAGAAUAGGACAAAAAAGGGUGAAAGUAUCAUCUCUGCAGUUUCUCUGUUUACUUAUCCCAAAUUGUAUCAUUGUAAACUCUGGUUGAAACUUUGCACUGUAGUCUAAAUGUAUUAGGGCUAAAGUGGACGUGUGGCUAUUAAGUGGUUUUUAAAGGAGAAAGGAUUCGUUUUGAGUCUGUUUGUCUGUGGUUGGAUCUCUGUUGCAGAGUGAGGACCUCCUGGGUUUUUUUGAGCCAGUAUUCAGACAAUGUAAGCACAAUGAACACAAAGCAUUUUGUGGCACUUCAUAAUAAAGAAUAAUCUUAACGAACCAAGGCAAUUUGUUGUAGUCUGUGUCAUGUCUUAAGAAAUAUGUAUUUCCUACUAUCCAAGAUAAUAGAAAUCAGGAAGUAAUUUGACCUGCAGGUAAUGGACACUGUGUUAAUUGAUUUAGUUAUUAAAAUUCCUGUUAGCUUUUUCUUCUUCUUCAGUUCAUGCUGUUGCAGUGAGUUUGCCUUUUAAGUCAAAAGAGUGCUCAGUUCAUUUGCAUAGAAAAACACUUGCUCUGAUUAAACAGCCC
ensembl:lncRNA